ensembl:lncRNA
UAUUAUAAAGGAGCAUCUAAAAGAGAUAGGCAGUGACUGUGAAAACAUGAAAAUAAUCCAGAAAAUUCAGCCCAGUGGAAAGUUGUUUGCAAUUCCAUCUAAAGCAGUUUGCCCCCAUGUUCAUGGAAUUUGAACUUAAAAGCGUUUGGCUUGCUUCAGUCAUCUAUAUGUUUUCCUAAGUGGAAAAAAUGGGUCUAUUUUUCUCUCUCUUAUCAGUGUAACAACUACUCUGCUUCUGCACCAAAUCUUUAUCAGCAGGUCUCAUGUAAAUUCUUCCGGUUCUCUCUGCUCCAGGCAUGGACAGCUAGUGGGGAAGUGUGCUGCUGGGUACUUCUGCCUUGCUGGGAGCUCUCAGGCCACUCCACAGGGCCCUGGCUUUUCCUGGCGCUUUCCAUCUGGAUGCCAAUGGGGUCAGGCAUGUGCUGGGCUGUGUCCUGCAGGUUUCUACUGCCUGGAGGGAUCUGAGUUACCUAUACCGUGUCCUGCCAAUACUAUUAGGGAUGUUCCCGGGGCUGGGCAGAGGGAAGACUGCCUGCCCUGUCCACCAGGCCACUGGUGCAAAGCAGGGGACUCAGAGGCCUACCUGUGUCCUUCAGGACACUAUUGCUUUGGAGGUAAUGGCAGUGACCAGGACAGUCUGGCACCUCAGAAAUGCCCUCCGCAUACUUACCGCAAGCAGCCGGGAGCUCAGAGCCUGACAGAUUGCCAGCCGUGUCCUCCGGGCUAUCACUGCCCUGUAUCAGGUCUAACCAGUUUUGAGGAUUAUCCAUGCCCACUGGGAUACUGGUGUCCUGGUAAAGGGGAUGCUUUCUUUUGUCCACCUGGCACUUCCAGAGUACAGCCUGGUGCAAAAUCAUUGGAAGAGUGUGAUCCCUGCUCACCAGGGUACUACUGCCCAGACCCAGCACAGACAGGGCUGCCUAACACCCAAGGAGUACCCUGUGAACCUGGCUAUGAAUGCCCAGCAGGUUCAGUAAAUCCAAAGCCUUGCAGGCCUGGCUCAUACUGCGGUGCUCGCACAGCCGUGCCCUCCAUGUGCCCUGCUGGGUAUUACUGUCCCGAAGGCUCAUCAACAUACAAUAGCCCUGAGCAGCUAUGUGUGUUUCCCUAUUACUGUCCCCUGGGCAGUGCCCGCCCACUGCCUUGUGAAGGAGGAUACAUGGCCCUCAGCUCCCCUGGGCCAAGGGAUUCCUUUGAGAAAUUCUGCAGAAUCUGCGACGCAGGCAGCUAUCGUAAUGACUCUUUCAUCUCUGCACCCUGUCAGCCCUGCCCGGCAGGCUUCAUCUGCCCACAAGGCAGUGAGACUUACCACAAGAAGCCUUGUCCCAUUGGCUAUUACUGCCCUUCCCUGACAUCUGCCCCUCUUCCCUGUCCCCCGGGGACCCGUGGGAGCAGCAACUUGGCCAAGCACAUAGAGGACUGUCAGGCCUGUCCUGCUGGCACCUUCAAUCACCUUCCUGCUCAGGCUUCCUGCUUUCCCUGUGGCAGCUCCUCUUCAUCACAGCCGGGUGAGUUACUGGUUUUGAGUGAAACUUUGCCUGCAGUUAAGAGAGAGCAUAAAAAGAAAAUUACCUACAAAUGUGAUUUUCUCACAUGCUUUCCCAAUGGACUGCAAGCCCUGGGACCUUCAUGA